rnacentral:siRNA from 1 species
CUGGCGAUUGUUCGUCGUCGUCA